CAUCCCCUGUGAAUAUUUCUGUUUAGGUUUUUCUUCUUGAAAAGAAAUUGUUAUUCAGCCCGUUUAAAACAAAUCAAGAAACUUUUGGGUAACAUUGCAAUUACAUGAAAUUGAUAACCGCGAAAAUAAUUGGAACUCCUGCUUGCAAGUGUCAACCUAAAAAAAGUGCUUCCUUUUGUUAUGGAAGAUGUCUUUCUGUGAUUGACUUCAAUUGCUGACUUGUGGAGAUGCAGCGAAUGUGAAAUCCCACGUAUAUGCCAUUUCCCUCUACGCUCGCUGACCGUUCUGGAAGAUCUUGAACCCUCUUCUGGAAAGGGGUACCUAUUAUUACUUUAUGGGGCAGCAGCCUGGAAAAGUACUUGGGGACCAAAGAAGGCCAAGCUUGCCUGCCCUGCAUUUUAUCAAAGGAGCAGGGAAGAAGGAAUCAUCGAGGCAUGGGGGUCCACACUGCAAUGUUUUUGUGGAACAAGCCCUUCAGCGGCCAGUAGCAUCUGACUUUGAGCCUCAGGGUCUGAGUGAAGCCGCU
rnacentral:lncRNA from 1 species